UGAGUAACGCGUAUGCAACUUGCCUAUCAGAGGGGGAUAACCCGGCGAAAGUCGGACUAAUACCGCAUGAAGCAGGGAUCCCGCAUGGGAAUAUUUGCUAAAGAUUCAUCGCUGAUAGAUAGGCAUGCGUUCCAUUAGGCAGUUGGCGGGGUGACGGCCCACCAAACCGACGAUGGAUAGGGGUUCUGAGAGGAAGGUCCCCCACAUUGGUACUGAGACACGGACCAA
rnacentral:rRNA from 1 species